GGUGGUUCUCGGGUGACACACCCUGGAAUUGGGUUCCCUUCUGUCUGGUUCCAGGUGCGUCACCCCAAGAACCGCA
rfam:Myotis lucifugus cont2.35036, whole genome shotgun sequence.